GGGUCUGUAGCUCAGUUGGUUAGAGCGCACCCCUGAUAAGGGUGAGGUCGCCGGUUCAAAUCCAGCCAGACCCACCA
rnacentral:tRNA from 6 species